rnacentral:rRNA from 1 species
GUGCCAGCCGCCGCGGUAAUACGUAGGGUGCGAGCGUUAAUCGGAAUUACUGGGCGUAAAGCGUGCGCAGGCGGUGAUGUAAGACAGGUGUGAAAUCCCCGGGCUUAACCUGGGAACUGCAUUUGUGACUGCAUCGCUGGAGUGCGGCAGAGGGGGAUGGAAUUCCGCGUGUAGCAGUGAAAUGCGUAGAUAUGCGGAGGAACACCGAUGGCGAAGGCAAUCCCCUGGGCCUGCACUGACGCUCAUGCACGAAAGCGUGGGGAGCAAACAGGAGGAUAAACCAGGGGAUUAC